rnacentral:rRNA from 1 species
ACACUCCUGCGGGAGGCAUCAGUGGGGAAUUUUGGACAAUGGGCGAAAGCCUGAUCCAGCCAUGCCGCGUGCAGGAUGAAGGCCUUCGGGUUGUAAACUGCUUUUGUACGGAACGAAACGGCCUUUUCUAAUAAAGAGGGCUAAUGACGGUACCGUAAGAAUAAGCACCGGCUAACUACGUGCCAGCAGCCGCGGUAAUACGUAGGGUGCAAGCGUUAAUCGGAAUUACUGGGCGUAAAGCGUGCGCAGGCGGUUAUGUAAGACAGUUGUGAAAUCCCCGGGCUCAACCUGGGAACUGCAUCUGUGACUGCAUAGCUAGAGUACGGUAGAGGGGGAUGGAAUUCCGCGUGUAGCAGUGAAAUGCGUAGAUAUGCGGAGGAACACCGAUGGCGAAGGCAAUCCCCUGGACCUGUACUGACGCUCAUGCACGAAAGCGUGGGGAGCAAACAGGAUUAGAUACCCGAGUAGUCCCAUGAU